CAAAACAAACAAACAAUAACACAACAAACUUUAUGGGUAUAUACGGUAUAUCAUAUAAGCGCUGAAAUUUAUUAGUUAUGAAAUUUUCAUAUGUUAACUAUAGUACAAAACUCUCUUAACUUUUAAAAUAAAGAACUAAAAUAAGUUUAAAUGAAGUUCAUGGAUCAUGGUACGAGAAUUCCUUCGAGAGCAAGCAAUGAAUAUCCUAAAAAGAAGAAAUGGAAAACUCGAUGAGUGCGAUGGUACAGAUGGAGAGAUAUGUCUUCGUUCGAAAAAGUUUUCUU
rnacentral:lncRNA from 1 species